ensembl:lncRNA TTTY14 testis expressed transcript, Y-linked 14
GGGGACAAUGGGCCAGAGCUUCUCAUGCAGCCUGCACCAGCGCCGGGUCGGAGAGUCAGAGGCCACCCUGAGAUGGACCGAGAUCUUCAGUUGGGGAGGCGCCUCCGGAAACACAAAGAUGGUGCAGACCCAGGCCCUGCUUUGACUGGGAGAAAGAUGCAUUCAGUUGACUAAAACUUGAAGGGCUCCCUGGAGACUGAACCCAGGGCUGAGGGCUCUCAGCACAGAGGCAUAUUUACUGGAUAGUCAGAGGGAACCCCCUCACAGGAUAUCCCCCCAGAUAUGCUGAAAAAGUGAAGAUAUACAGCCAUCCUCAAUAGAAGCCAGUCAUGAUCACAUACCUAAGUGGGGUUGAAUGCACACAGAAAUCUAUUAAUUUCAGACUCUUCCUCUAUUUGGGGGCAUCUCUACUAGCUAGGAUGCUGCCAUAGCACUUGAAUUUUAAUUUUCAAUAUCAAACCUAAGAUUACUUCACUCCUGCUGGAUAUUACUUUGUCUAUUUAAACAAUUUUUUGUCUUUGUUUCCUUUCUUCCUCUCUCCCACCUUCCUUCUUUCCUUUCUUUUUCCCACCCUCCCUUCUUCUUUCCUUCUUCUCGCUCUCCCUUGGCGAUGUGAAUUUUGUUCUGGCAUACAUUGAAUGACUCGUCUGCCACAAAGUUGAAUUCUAAUACACAAUGGUGUUUGGUUUCGCAUAGUGUAAUCACAAUUUUGUGCAUUUUAAAAUUACCUUAGACAACACUCAGAUUUGCAAGAGCAAAGGAAAUCAUUAACAAAUGAACUAUCAACGAUUGCCAAAAUUCUUUCCAUAUUGGCUGCCUAUACUUGGGUCUUCUGCAGCCAGAGUUUGCUCUGUUUCCUCUUUUGGAAGCUAGAAAAAUUAAAAAUUGUUGUUCUAUGUUUAAAAACUAUAGAAAUGCUGUUCUCCAAAGAGAAAAUACUGGAGCAGAACAGGUAUAUAUUCUGUGAACUUUGUUUUCCAAAAAGUCUGGUUGAGUAUUUAAGGUCCAGCUACCUACCAAGAAAUAUGCCAAGGUCUGCGAAGUGUAGAAUGCCAAACAAUGGCAUUUGUUUCAUCAAUUCAAUCCAUGUGUUUCAUCAAUUCAUGCAUUUUUUUUCCCUUAAAUAAUAAGUCAAUUUUAUCCUUUUGAUUCAACCAGCACAGCUUAGGGGAUGACACAUGCAUACAGUAGACUGUCAGAGUGGUAUACUUUGUAUAAUAGAAAUAAAUGAAGAUAAAAUAGAAAGGAAAAAAAGCAGAUGAUUUGCUAGGAACUCUGCCUGACCUGUAGUCCCUCAGCACAUAACAUUGUCUCUGGGGAAGAAAAGUUUAUCUUGGGCUGCAAACAGACAAUAAAUGGUAAGAAGCCUCAAGUUCUGAGACUUGGAUAACCACAGUAAGUAUCCCUUAUGGUAGGGCAGUGCAGAGCUCAGCUUUCUAAGAUGGAGAUUUCUAACGAAGAGACACAUUUCCCUAUGUAAUGAGAAAGUUGGGCUUAGAGGAUUUUUUAUUUUGCUUAUUUAUUGUGUGCAUGAAAAUUUUUGCUCUCAAGUUCAUUUUUGUCAGAUAUUGACAAAAUUCAGACUGCAUAAAGUUUAAAAAGGUAUCUACAGCAAUUUUUUUAAAAGCAUAGUUGAAAAUCUCUUAUCUUCUCCCUACUCCAUUUAAUUCAUCAACCUAGAAGAUGUGGUUAAAGCCCUCUUCUUAACAGUUUAGAAGUGUUGUGUUACCAUAGACUUUUGUUUGAGUAAUGUAAAAUAACUCGUGGAUAGUCUGACACUUUGCAAGAAAGCAUGUAACUCUGUUGUUCAGAUAUAACACCAGGAGGCCUUGGGAUUAUCUACCUAUCAGUGCUGAGAUGGAGAAAGAGUCAAAAGCAACCCUUCUUGCUCCAGCCACAGCAUGUUCCGAAGAGAUGAUUGGAAGAUGGAAGUGGAGGGUUAAAUAAUGAAAUGCAGCUAACAUUUCGGAAAGUUUCUAAAAGUUGUACAACAUGCCCUACAGCUACUCUUUAAAUCUCCAAAUCAAAUGAGUUUCAGGUGGAGCCUCUGGGAGGUGAUGAGGUCAUGAGAGUGGAGCCUCAUGAAUGGGAUGAGCACUCCUACAAAAAGGAUUCCAGAGAGCUCGCUUGCUCCUUCCACAGUGUGAGGACACAGAGGGAAGGCUCUGUCUAUGAAUGAGAAAGUGGGUCCCCACCAGACAUUGAAUCUGCCGCAUCUUGAUACUGGACUUCCAGUCUCCAGAACUGUGGGCAAUAAAUGUCUGUUGUUUAUUACCUGUCCAGUAUCUUUGGUAUUUUGCUAUAGCAACCCAAAUGGACUAAGAAAACACCAGAGGCCAUACCUAAUAAAAAUAUUGACAUCACAAUUUGUUGUAUCAGGUGACUGUUUUUCCACUAAAAUAGUUACUUUAAUUCACGAAUAGCCUGCCAACAGGACAUUGUUCAUCCACCUUGAAACGGCCAUUCAUCAACCAAGCAGGUUGUUGUUGUCAAUAGGGAGCUCUUCAAAGGGCAUUGCCCAUGUGACAGUGGGAUCCAGUAAUUCCUGAGGUGGUUCCAGACUACAUGCUAGAAAAUUCCCUACUACCUGCUCUUGAACAGGAUGAGCAACUCCUUGCACUUCCCUGGUUUGUGAUGAAGAAAUAAACAAUGCCCAGUUCCUGCCCUGGAGAAGCUCAUUGCAUAGAAAAAGGAAAAAGGCAGAUAUACAUGCCACAGUACAGUGCUGAGACAACAUAAAUCACAAGCAACCAAGUACAAAGUGAAUUAUACAGAAUCUGGUUUUCUUCUGUUUGGAUUUGAUACUGAGCUAUACUGGAUUCACUGACAAGAAGAGUUUGAAUUAGCAGCAUGCUGAGAAUGGACACAGUGUUUGAAGAGACUGAUAAAGAAAGUACAGGAGGAGUUUUAUUUUUGGAAGAAGAAAUGGUCCUUGGGCACAGACCCCAUAUGAGUUUUCCUUUCAGCGUUCUCUGCUCAGCUGUUCUCUGCUGUGGUGAGGCGCCUAUGCUUUGUAUAUGUCUGAAAUUAAUUGAAAAGCUAGUGACAGAUUCUGAUGUCAUUUGCCAUGAGCUUUAUUAUUGUGCAGGUAAUUUUGGAUCAAAUCACCCUAACGUUUUUCAACAAAGACUUUAGAAGAAAUAAAGCUGCAUUACUUUUUCUUGGCGCAUUCUUCCUUUAGGACCUAUAGUGAGGCAAUGUGUCCAUGCCCGUCUCUUGUGGGUCAGUCACCACUGACACCUUAUUUUGACCACUCGAUGCCAUCAUCUUUCUCUCAUCGAUCCUAAUCCUUGGGACUACGCAUCAAUGUCUGCACAGUGAUGACCCACCCAACAGUGGCCUCAGCUUGGGGACAUCUGGAGUCGCAUCCACCAUGAGGACGAAGCCUCCUUCUCUUCUGGACCUGCCCAGGAGUGGCCGUUGCUACAAGACCUCUGUUGCUACGUCCAGGGUGAGAAUAAAGACUUCUCCUCAGGACUCUCCCAGGAGAAGACAUGGCAUUGAGACAUCUGGUGGCCAGGAAACUUUGGAAAAUAGUGGAAAGUGACCAAUUCAAGUCUAUUUCAUGGGAUGAGAAUGGAACUUGCAUAGUGAUUAAUGAAGAACUCUUCAAGAAAGAAAUUUUGGAAACAAAGGCUCCUUACAGAAUAUUUCAAACUGAUGCUAUCAAAAGUUUUGUUCGACAGCUCAACCUUUAUGGAUUUAGUAAAAUUCAACAGAAUUUUCAAAGAUCUGCCUUUCUAGCCACCUUUCUGUCAGAAGAGAAAGAAUCGUCUGUCUUAAGCAAGGUAUUUGACAUAUUUGAGUUACCACUUUAUGUAAAGUAUAUAUGUAAUUUUACUUUGUACAUCAGUAAAUAUGUUAAUACAUGCAGUAAGACCAGCUUUUGAAAAUUAUAUAAAAUAUUAAGGUAGAAAUUUUGUUUUGAAAUUAUUGUGUUCAGCUUG